GAUGAACGCUGGCGGCGUGCUUAACACAUGCAAGUCGAACGAUGAAGCUCCAGCUUGCUGGGGUGGAUUAGUGGCGAACGGGUGAGUAACACGUGAGUAACCUGCCCUUGACUCUGGAAUAAGCCUUGGAAACGGGGUCUAAUACCGGAUAGGAGCAUUCACCGCAUGGUGGGGGUUGGAAAGAAUUUCGGUCUUGGAUGGACUCGCGGCCCAUCAGCUUGUUGGUGAGGUAAUGGCUCACCAAGGCGACGACGGGUAGCCGGCCUGAGAGGGUGACCGGCCACACUGGGACUGAGACACGGCCCAGACUCCUACGGGAGGCAGCAGUGGGGAAUAUUGCACAAUGGGCGCAAGCCUGAUGCAGCGACGCCGCGUGAGGGAUGACGGCCUUCGGGUUGUAAACCUCUUUCAGUAGGGAAGAAGCGAAAGUGACGGUACCUGCAGAAGAAGCACCGGCUAACUACGUGCCAGCAGCCGCCGUAAGAC
rnacentral:rRNA from 1 species